rfam:Cavia porcellus supercont2_108 genomic scaffold, whole genome shotgun sequence.
ACAAAGGCUCUUUUCAGAGCCACUUACCUAGUCGUAAAAGAAGGUA